CUCCUGCCUCAGCCUCCCAAACUGCUGGAAUUACAGGCAUGAGCCAUGGCACCCCGCUUUUAAAUAUAUUUUCUGUGUAAAGACUCUAAGAAUCUGUGUAAAGAAUCACAACAAACUCCUGACAAGACUUCACUCUGUCACCCAGGCUGCAGUGCAGUGGUGUGAUCAUGGCUCGCUAAAGCCUCAACCUUGGACUCAAGUGAUCCUCCCACCUCAGCCUCCCAAGUAGCUUGGGACUAUAGGCCCACACCACCACACCUGGUUAGUUUUUUAAUUUUUGUAGAGAUGGGUUCCCACUGUGUUGUCCAAGCUGGUCUUGAAUUCCUGGGCUCAAGCCCUGGGCCUCCCACAGUUCUGGGAUUACAGGUAUGAGCUACUGCACUCGGA
rnacentral:lncRNA from 10 species